GCCUCACUUAAAGGCCAAGUAGUGCAAAAUACGACAUUCGAGAGUUGGUCUCCUUGGUUUUCUACCACCGUCCCAUGAGCAUCAUCGUAAUCUUGAUUCAAAGUUGGGGAGAAAAUUCAUAUCCUCCAAGUGGAGGGAAAAGUGGUAAAGUUAACUCAUGUUUUCUUAAUUUUUAGAUAGUUUUUUUUUAAAAUUAUUUUUUAUCAUUCUACCAAGUUUCAUAAUUUUGGAAUUGAUUUGGAUGGAAUUUGGGGGUAUUGGAGUGGCUGCACAGUGCUUUUUUUUUUUUUUUGCACAAAACUGCUUUGCUAUUUCAAUUAUGUCCUCAGUGGUCACAAGUGCAGUUUGUACUUAUUUUUGGUUGAGAAGGCUUGUGGUUUGACCCAGGUAAGUUUCUAAAACGUUUUAAGUGGUCGUUUGGUGCAUGGCCAAAAUUAUCCCGGGAUUAUAAUCCCGGGACUAAUUUAUCUCAUAUCUUGGGACUAUUUUAUACCAUCUCCUAGAUGGUAUAAAAUAAUUCUAGAAUAAGUGGGAUAUGCUGGGAUAUUCCAGCUUAUACCAUGGGAUGCAUUUUAUACUUUGUUUGGUAAAAGAUAUAAAUUUAUCACAGGAUAAAUUUAUACCUUCUACCAAACAUGGUACAAAAAAUUAGUGCUGGGAUAUCACAACUUAUACCAUGCAUCAAACGACCCCUAAAACUUUAAUGACUAAAUCACAACCCUCCCCUUAGUUCCUACAACUGGUAAGAAACAAAAACAACGCACACACCCAUCACAGCCGCAGGGCACCAACGUUACAGUCCAGGUUUAUAUGAUUGAGAAGUGAUCAUGAAGAAAUCAAGUGAAAAACAAGUCAAAAAGAGGUCAAAGUGAAGAAAAUGACAAAAAUGGCUAAAACUGGACAGUUUUCAAAAUUCGAAAAUAUGGGGCUGUUUUGGUCAUAUUUUGAUGUGGAAAUAGUGGGGAGCUAUAAAAGCAACACUUGAAGGAGAAAAUCAUCAUCUUUGGCCAUCUUCCAAGCUUGGAGCAAGAAACUACAUUAGGGUUUGAAGAUUUAGAGGCACACAAUGAGAAAUUUUUUACCCAUUUCUUCAACUCUUGCUUUGUAAUGCAUAUCUAAGUGUGUAGAAUUUUAUUUCAUCACUUUGGUCUUGUUUUUGGACAUCUUAAUUUGCAAAGUUGGAUUAUAUCUCUUGUUAUGCUUAUGUAUUGGAUGAUUUUUAUUUCUAAUGAAGUGGGUUAGUGUUUCUCUAUU